GACGAACGCUGGCGGCGUGCCUAAUACAUGCAAGUCGAGCGGACGGAUGGGAGCUUGCUCCCAGACCGUCAGCGGCGGACGGGUGAGUAACACGUGGGCAACCUGCCUGUAAGACUGGGAUAACUCCGGGAAACCGGGGCUAAUACCGGAUAACUCUUUCCCUCACAUGAGGGAAAGCUGAAAGAUGGCAUCUCGCUAUCACUUACAGAUGGGCCCGCGGCGCAUUAGCUAGUUGGUGAGGUAACGGCUCACCAAGGCGACGAUGCGUAGCCGACCUGAGAGGGUGAUCGGCCACACUGGGACUGAGACACGGCCCAGACUCCUACGGGAGGCAGCAGUAGGGAAUCUUCCGCAAUGGACGAAAGUCUGACGGAGCAACGCUGCGUGAGUGAUGAAGGUUUUCGGAUCGUAAAACUCUGUUGUCAGGGAAGAACAAGUACCGGAGUAACUGCCGGUACCUUGACGGUACCUGACCAGAAAGCCACGGCUAACUACGUG
rnacentral:rRNA from 1 species